CAAAUUUCGGACCUUGUCGGUGAAAUAAAAGACAUGAAUGGAUUAUAGGGGUAGUUGUAUUUAAACUCGCAAAACAUUGUUUUCCUAUUUGUUUCUAUUUUAGACAAAAGUCUAUUGAAGAGAACGAAUGACUUUAUAUUUAUACAGGAACAUAUUUGAAAAGAAAGUACAUUGUUAUUGAUGAAUCCUGAAGCUAAAGGGGGAAAAAAAGGAAGAUUGUCCGUUGAAAUUAUUCAAACUAAUACAACUUGCUUAAACUACAUUAAUAUAUAUUUUAUUCUUAUUCUAUAGUAAAGCUGGUCGUAAACUGCUUUAUUUAUAAAAUGAAAGUAUUAGUAUUGCUUCCCCAUAAACCAUAUGUAAUUUAAAGAGUUCGUCGAUUGGAAUGUUUUAAUUACAUGAACGUGUGCCGG
rnacentral:lncRNA from 1 species